CCCAUACUUGCUCACUGUUGUGCCCAACUUUACUGUUGUGCCUUGGCCCGGGCCUGCGCGACGUAACCGGUUUCUAAACAUUUUUUAACAAACUUAAUACGAACUAUUCAAAAUUGAAUUUUGGCCAACGAUUUCAGCCGCUCUGGCCUGCUCUAGGAGCAUCGACUUUUCAAACAUUGCGAAUGGAUGUUUCAUGGAUGGGACGUUGGAAUUGCUGCACCGUACGAAGAGGUCGAAUCAUCCUUUUCAAUUUUACGAUCCAGGAUCUUCGAAUCUUCCGCUUCGGACUUUGCGCACGGGGUAAUCAGAGGAAACCUUUCAGCACGGAACCCAUUUACAUGCGCUGAAAAUAACGCAGUGUUUGGAUCGAAGAGGCGCUAUUCUUUCCGACUGCCGGGCGUAUAGAUAAUUCUUUUGCGUGUUGAGCAGGAAGAAUUCUUUUCUUGUGGAUAAAGGCGCAGCCUGCAGACCGUUAUACGUGUAUGGAAAAAUUUCUCUUUGUGCGGUAAAU